GAGUGAACACUCCUGACAUCAGGGCUCCUACAACUGCCUCGUCCCAGCCAAUCUGAUCAGCAAAAGCUUUCCCCUCUGUUGACUCCAAUACCUGCCCGGCAUCAGCUCCCGAGUGGGCCAAAGGGGUGCCCCUCUCACUCCAGAUGUUGCUCCGCAGGAUUGGGGGAAGAAGGGAGCCUAUGAAGCAGACAAUGAGCUCAAUGGCAAAGACAAAAGCCCCACUCAAGGGCAGGAAGAUCCGGGGGAAGGAGCAGGGUCCUGCCAAGGCGGAUUUCUCCCUGCAGGUGCUACGGGGCACCUUCCUCACAGAGCUGGGCCAGAUGGUGCAGACCAGAAGCUGGCCGAGGGGAGAAAGCCUCUCCAGAGAGCGAGCAAGGAAGGAAGAGGAGAUGGCCC